rnacentral:rRNA from 1 species
AUUGAACGCUGGCGGCAUGCUUUACACAUGCAAGUCGAACGGUAACAGGCCGCAAGGUGCUGACGAGUGGCGAUCGGGUGAGUAAUGCAUCGGAACGUGCCCAGUCGCGGGGGAUAACUACUCGAAAGAGUAGCUAAUACCGCAUACGAUCUAUGGAUGAAAGCGGGGGACCGUAAGGCCUCGCGCGAUUGGAGCGGCCGAUGUCAGAUUAGGUAGUUGGUGGGGUAAAGGCUCACCAAGCCAACGAUCUGUAGCUGGUCUGAGAGGACGACCAGCCACACUGGGACUGAGACACGGCCCAGACUCCUACGGGAGGCAGCAGUGGGGAAUUUUGGACAAUGGGCGCAAGCCUGAUCCAGCAAUGCCGCGUGCAGGAAGAAGGCCUUCGGGUUGUAAACUGCUUUUGUACGGAACGAAACGGCUCUGGUUAAUACCCGGGGCUAAUGACGGUACCGUAAGAAUAAGCACCGGCUAACUACGUG